CACAUGUGAGCAGAUAUAUUUAUCCUAGCCACAAGCCAGCACACUGUGAAAUCACUUACAUGUGAUUUUCCCUUUCACAUCCUUUCUAAUCGAGUUGGAGAGGUGUAAACAAUAAGGGUGGAGCCCAGAAGAUGCUUUGCCCAAACAUGUCCGCUAUCAUCAGAUCUGAGAGGAGAGUAAUGAAUGCAGGCGAAGGGCUGAUAACAAAUCUACAGACAAGUUUACGGAUGUCUCCCACCCUGGGCAUACACACAGCCUCUCCUCUGGUCGCCUCCAUCCACUCCAUCCACUCCUGCUAUUGGGCGAGGGACGUGUCACUCGGAUCAUAACAACGAAAGGGGUGUUUUCCUUCUAAUCACAGAGAUGAUGUUGACAAAUAGCCUCAGUGUUGGUCUUCACCAGUCUUGAUUUAAAAUCUGCAGUCCGCUGAGUCUGAGGCCAAGACAAGACCGAGAAGAAGUGCUUACCAUUCCAAGAAGAGACCAAGACCUUUAGAAAAUGGUCUCAAGACCAGGUUUGAGGCCAAGACUGACUUUGAGUACUAUAACACUUAUAUGUGCUCCAGUA